rnacentral:rRNA from 1 species
UACGUAGGGUGCGAGCGUUUGUCCGGAAUUAUUGGGCGUAAAGCGCACGUAGGCGGCAUUGCAAGUCGGAUGUGAAAUCCCUCGGCUUAACCAAGGAAGUGCAUCCGAAACUGCAGUGCUUGAGUACUUAAGAGGAUCGCGGAAUUCCCGGUGUAGAGGUGAAAUUCGUAGAUAUCGGGAGGAACACCAGUGGCGAAGGCAGCCUCUGGUGCCGUGACUGACGCUGAGGAGCGAAAGCGU